ensembl:lncRNA
GGCGAGGGCGCCACCUAGGGGCGCGCGCCGGGAGCGGCCGCCCGGCCUGGACCAGAGGUCCAGCUGAGGUCCAGCCCUCCAUAAACUCCGUGAGCCUUAUCCAGCAACCGCGGCAGCUGCUGAUUUCCCGGGUCCGCGAAGACGCGUCCCUCCCGGUCUGCCUGCAGGAGCUCCUACUCGUUCUCUGAAGCCCAGCCGCAGCGGGCCCCAGGAAGUCUGUGCCCCCUCCUAGGUGAGGGCAGGUGGGCCUCGCCGGCCUCCCGGCCUCUGAACUACAGCAUGUCAUGGGCAACUGCGCCGGAAUUCAGUCAUUAAAAGAUGCUUCCUGUGUCUCAG